AAGAAGAAUAAGAAUAAAAUCUAUUAAUUUUACACUUUUAAAGUGAGUGUGUUAGUUUGCGAAUGUGACUGAAAUCCAGUGACUACUGUAAGCCAAGUUUUUCUCAACUCCACGAUGCACAUCACAUCAAUGGAGUUGAGCGGAGACAACUACAACGAGUCGCUGUCGGUCGAUAAACCCUUACCUUGUACCUAUGUUUGUCCUCUGUAGCUGCCUUUCUUACUUCCUUACCUUGUACCUAUGUUUGUCCUCUGUAGCUGCCUUUCUUACUUCCUUACCUUGUACCUAUGUUUGUCCUCUGUAGCUGCCUUUCUUAAUUCCUUACCUUGUACCUAUGUUUGUCCUCUGUAGCUGCCUUUCUUACUUCCUUACCUUGUACCUAUGUUUGUCCUCUGUAGCUGCCUUUCUUAAUUCCUUACCUUGUACCUAUGUUUGUCCUCUGUAGCUGCCUUUCUUAAUUCCUUACCUUGUACCUAUGUUUGUCCUCUGUAGCUGCCUUUCUUAAUUCCUUACCUUGUACCUAUGUUUGUCCUCUGUAGCUGCCUUUCUUAAUUCCUUACCUUGUACCUAUGUUUGUCCUCUGUAGCUGUCUUUCUUAAUUCCUUACCUUGUACCUAUGUUUGUCCUCUGUAGCUGUUUGUAGCUGUGUGCCUUUCUUUGUUUGCUGAUAUCCAUACUUUUUAAUAAAACCUUUAUCCAAUACAACCACAGACUCCUUCCUUGUAUCGACUGACAGCGACUCCGCCCACAGUUGUUGCAAACAAACUCCACCGAGAUGUACAUAUGGUAGAGUUGAGAAACCCAGCUACAAUAAAACUAACUACAGAAACAACCAUGGUAGACUUCAGAAACCCAGCUACAGGAAAACUAACAGUAGAAACAACGAUGUACAUAUAGUAGAGUUGAGAAACUCAGCUACAAUAAAACUAACUACAGAAACAACCAUGAUAGACUUCAGAAACCCAGCUACAGGAAAACUAACAGUAGAAACAACGAUGUACAUAUAGUAGAGUUGACAAACCCAGCUACAAUAAAACUAACUACAGAAACAACCAUGGUAGAGUUCAGAUACCCAGCUACAGGAAAACUACCAUGGUAGACUUCAGAAACCCAGCUACAGGAAAACUAACUGUAGAAACGUGAAUCAAACAGUACAGUGGGUACAAUUGACAUUGUGUAAGCCUGUGAAACUAUGUUAAGUGUAGAUGUUCUUUUCCCAAAGAAAAUACCUGAGAAAUCAAGUCAACGGAUGCUAAUCACCUACCAAGAUGUAGAGAUUUAUCUUUGUGUUGUUGUUGAUGUCCAACGUGAGAGACAAAGGAUAAUGAGUGCAUGAUUGUGUCCAUGUUGUGUCUAAAGCCACAGUUAAGUCUCCUGCUUAACUCUCCUGCUCAAGCAUCUGUGGUUUUGUGUUUAGAUUUAUCCCAACACUACUGUAAAAUGUAUCAUUAUUUAUUCAUGUGAUUUUAGAUUUGCUCCUUUUUCUUAAUAAAUAACAAUUUAUAUCAAUUCAUAUCAAAAAGUGUCAUAAUUUUACAAAUAAUGAGUCCACAGUUUGAGUCAUAAUACCCAUAAAACCUAGAGGACAAACAAGGAAAUGUCCCCCCCCCCCCCUUCAUUUAUUUUUCCCAUAGGGGAUUUUAGAAACACUUAAAAUAAGGGCUGUGUUUCGUGUAGGGUUACCCUGGCGUGAAUACAUAGGCUGAAUUGAUACAAUACUCCAGAGUGGCACAGAGGCGUCACUGCAGUACCUGGUUCGAAUCCAGGCUGUAUCACAUCUGGCCUGUGAUUGGGAGUCCCAUAGGGCGGUGAACAAUUGGCCCAGCGUCGUCCGGAGUAGGCCGUCAAUUGUAAAUAAGAAUUUGUUCUUAACCGACUUGCCUGGUUAAAUAAAGGUUCAAAUAAAUAAUACCUGUUAGCAAAGGUGUCAGGUAGAGACGGCGUUCAGGAGCAUGCUGGGAUUCGUAGUCUUGCAUGAUGUCUACUUUGAUGCUAAUUAGCAUUUUCGAAUCUGAAUAUAUUGAUAUUGAGUCAGAUUUUUUUACAUGUUUAUUAAACCAUCACGCCAGGGUAAGCC
rnacentral:lncRNA from 13 species